GGCAGACCUCGAGCUCUCUCGUCUCCAUCUCCGACACAGACCUCGAGCUCUCUCAUUUCCAUCUCACACAGCCACAAGCUCUCUCAUCUCCAUACCUCGAGCUCUCUCAUCUCCAUCUCCUCGAUCUCUCUCAUCUCCAUCUCAUCUCUAGACCUCGAGCUCUCUCCUCUCUGAUGCAGCACGAGCUCUCUCUUCUCCUCUGAUUUGGGUUUCAAGCAUAGUUGAGGCUCACAGCUAUUGGAAAGAAGUGCUUGAAGAGAGGCGUAAAAUCUACUGGGUGCUUGGAAAAACCUUGUGGCUAGAGCUUGUCUGGACCGUUGACUGGUGGGCAGGAGUAAAGGUACCCUCUUUUCCCUAUUUAUAUGCUACUGAGUUCUUUCUACUGACUGCAUUUGUCUAAGCUAACUUGAGUUUUGGUGUGUGAGGAGUUUGCUUGAUAUGUUGUUUGCUUGUGUGACAUGUUAUGUUUCUCUUCUCAUCUUGUUUGUAGGACUCUUUUGAUAAGUCCAGGGAUUGAGCUUAUCUGAAGAAACAGAAAGGGGAGAAGAUUGACGAAGAGCAGAGGUAGAAGAGAAUAGAGAAAGGAAGAAAUUAUGGUUGAUGCCCUUGUUUGAUUGAUGAUCGUUAUUCGAUAAAACUUACAAAAUGCAGAUGAUUAAUUAUAGAGUACUAUUAAUGGGCUGAAUGACAACAUCUAAGCCCAAUACGAAUUUACAAAGCCCAAACUUGUCAUCUUUCUGCCUGCUGUUGUAAGGCCUAUCUUACAUUCACUUGAGGCUUCCAAACAAGUUAAAGCCGGGAAAUCGGCCAAUUCCUACAUCAACAAGGACCAACGGUCCCGAUCAGUACAUAAACAUGUUACCUGUGCGAAAACAUACAUCAACUACUAGAAAGUUUAAUUUUCAUACGCAAACUUUCAAAAUUUAGUUUUAUCAUACAUUGACUUAAUUUCCGUUAGUCAAACGUUGAGCUGUCGUUAACCAGUAACAGAAAAUCGGCUAAUUCCUACAUUAACAGUGAUCAAUGGUCCAGAUCAAUACAUAAACACUUCACCUGUACAAAAACAUACAUCAACUAAAACAAAAUUUAAAUUCAAUACAUGAACUUUCGAAAUCUGUUUUUAACAUACACUAAAGCUUGACAUGCGCGUCCGUGCGGAUAUUUGUUGUUAAUUUUCUUAUAAAUUGUUUAGUGACAUUCCUAAAUAUAUAAAUUUUUGUUAAUUAUUAUGUUCCUAUACAUAAAAACCAAAGCCAUCCGGAUCUGAAAGACCCUAUUCGAAUCUCACCCAAAAUUUUAUAAUACCCGAACAAAGCAUAAUUUCAAAACCUAAAAAAAAUUCGAUAUCCGAAAGAACCAAUCCAUACCCAACCGUAUACUUGAUAUCCAUAUCUUAAUGAAGUAGUUAAGAAGUAUAAAAAAAUGUAAAAGAUAUAAUAAAACACUUAAAAAUAGGUAAGUUCUGUUUUAUAUUUUUAUAAGACAUGCUGUCAAAUUAUUUGAAAAAAAUGCAAUUAAUAAAGUAGUUAAGUUGAGUGAAAAUAAGGAAAGAAAAGAUGUAAUAAAUCUGUUGAAAAUAAUGUUAGUUUUAUUUUGUAAUUAAAUUUAAUAAAAUAGAUUUACCUAAUUUCCACUAGUCAAAUAAUACCGAAAAUAAAUGGUAUGUCAUGUAUUGAUUAAGUAAAGUUUUUUAUUGUAUUAUGUGAUAAUUAAACCAUAGUACGUAGUAACUGACAGAGAGAAAUGAAAAUGUUUAGCUUAUCGAAGAAAUUCUCUUUUCUCUUUGUUCAAUUUUGUCUUCUUUCAUUUUUUGGUGUUAGUGUUUUCUGUUGUCGUAAAAGUUGAAGAAAAAAUUAAAGAGAAAAACUAACUAACAAAUUACACACAAAAAAAAAUCGUUUGACAUACAUGAUUUAUUUUUCUCAUUCAAUUACCGCGUAAUACAGUUUAAUUACCACAUAAUACAUUAAAAACCUUACUUAAUCAAUACGUGACAGACAAUUUAUCUUCGAUAUUAUUUGACUAGUUGAAGUUAGGUAAAUAUCAAGCUUUAGCGUAUGUUAAAACCAGAUUUCAAAAGUUCAUGUAUUGAAUUUGAAUUUUGUAUUAGUUGAUGUAUGUUUUUGCACAAGUAAAGUGUUUAUGUAUUGAUAUGUAUCAUUGGUCCCUGUUGUUGUAGGAAUUAGCCGAUUUUCUAUUACCGGUUAACGACAACUCAACGUUUGACUAACGGAAAUUAGGUCAAUGUAUGAUAAAACCAAAUUUUGAAAGUUCAUGUAUGAAAAUUAAAUUUUGUACUAGUUGAUGUAUGUUUUCGCACAGGUAACAUGUUUAUGUACUGAUCGGGACCGUUGAUCCUUGUUGACGUAGGAAUUAGCCGAUUUCCCAGUUAAAGCCCCUCCUUCUUGUAUACUUUGUGUUUUAUCAACUUCUUAGAUUAUGGUUAUAUUGCUUAAUGGUUUCAUGUCUCUCAUCCUGGAUUUUACCACCGUUUUAUAUACUUUGUGUUUGCAAAUUUUAUUCGUUUGUUUUUAUGAUUCCAAGUUCCGUUUUUAUUGCUUUCAAAAGCAAGGAUUGGGCAUAAGAUUGACUUCUUAGUCAGCCCAUUAUUUAGUACUUGGUUAUGUCAAGCCAAAACUAAAUCCUUCAAGUGGUUUUUUGCAGGUUAUUGCUGGUGUCACUGGGAAGAAACAGAGCUAAAUACAUGCAAUGACUUUCCCCUGUUUUCUUACAUUCAGAUUCCUUCUUUGUCUUUUUAACUCUUUCCAUUCACAAAUGAAAUAAGCUAGACCUCAUGUUGUUUUUUUACAUAAAGGCAUGCGUGUAAAGUACACUAUGUUCAUCCUUUCUAUCACAUGUAUUAGGUUCUUAAUGACAAAUCUAAAAGCUUUAAACU